AGUGCUUUAUGAUUUAGUAUAAGCAACAAAUAUUUAAUAGAAUUAAUUAAUAGAAAUAUGCUUUUCAGUUGUAGUUGCUUUCUGCCGUCAAACUCCCUCUAAUGUCACUGAAAUACUAAAUAUUUCUCUGUCUUAAAUAAAACUAUCAGCCUCUUCACUGUCAGUUUUAUUUAUGUUAUUGUCAGCCAAGGAUAAUUUACAUGGAAAAUCUGUCUGAAAUCUAUAAGUUAUCUACUUCAACACUGUAAUAUGUUUUUCUAAUCAUUUUAUGCUCUUACCUUGAUGUCAUGUAGCUACAGGGUCCCUUAAAAAUCUGGAAUUUCCUGGAGUUAUUUGUAAAAGUGUGAGGAGAAAACUUCAGCUUAGCUUAGUUGCCAGACUCUAUUUAAAUCACUCUAUUGGAAGAAAUUUAAAGUUGCAGAAAUCUAACUCCAAUUUACAUCCACAAUCUAUAUGUCGCCACAUCUCCACUUCAGCAUUUAUUGAACUUACUGAUACUUUUGGUUUCCCCAGCAUUUUGUUUUGUUGUUUUGUUUUUUCUAUGCUUUUGAAAAAUUUUUGCAUUCAAAUGGUUGGGAAAUGUUUUAAAUUUGCAUCUAGAGAAGCAUUACAGUGGAAGAAACCCUGUUCAUAAUUCUCCAUGACUUAAUGAAAUUAACGCUUACUACACAUUUAAUAAAGUUUUUUUUUUCUAGAAGAUAGUUUAAACCCGUGUUCCCUCCAAAGUUUUAACUACUCCUUAAACACCUGUACGGUGUGGCGGGAGGGGGCAAUAUAUAAAAUUAUAUCCAACCAGCAUUUUCUCUGCUUUUAUUGAUAAAGUUCUUAAACUAUUUCUAAGUUGCUCAAAAGUAUAAUUUAUUAAGUUGUAGAAUUAAACCCUUUAACGGCCAAAAACACUUAAGAAAAUUCAACACGCUAUUAGAUCCCUUUCAUGGCACUCUGGGCUUGUUUUUUUGUUUGUUUUUUUAACACUGAUAUGUUUUAGUUCAUCUUCAUGUCCCACCUGCUGCUCUGAACAGUCAUUGCUACACACAAUUAAUUUCCCUUCAAGGGAUUUAUUUUUUUUUUUUUUAAACAUUCUGCAAAAAGCCAUUUAUCAACUCCAAACACAAACAUGCUUGUCAUUUGUAUCAUCUUCUGCGGUGCAAGUGAAGACAGCAGCUGUCAGUGGAGGCCUAAUGCUCUUAACUGUCCCGUCAGUUCUGCCAUUUCCUUUUUUAUCUUUUGUGACGAACCUUGCUGUCAGUGUUUUGAGACAAAUGUCUCGGCCUUUUGUUCGGAGACUAGUUCAGAAUAAUAACUGCAGGCGGCUCAGCAGUUCAGCUCGUCUGUGUUUGUUUAAAAGUGAAUCGAAGCUGAGCUCUGCAACGCAACACUUGCUUCCUCUGGUAUUCUGACGGUUCAUAUUUGAUGGAUGAGCUUCAGGUGUUGAAGUCGGAAAGACCUAACCAGGUUCAAAUCAGGACUCUCCGCUCCACACAGCACUCAGAUCGGGAAAAGCACAUGCUGGUUAGAUGAAAAUAUCACUUUAAAUCCAAAUCUGUUGGCGUUCUGCAUCAUUUUGAACUUGGCUGCAAUGAAGGCAGGUCUGAGAAAUCCUAACAUCUGAAUAUCUUCUUUUUCUUCUCCCAGCAGCUUACAAACAUUACCGGCGUCAACUGGACUCCACAAAUUUUAUUUACUCGUCUGAAUACUUACGUUCACUAAAGAUGUGUAGAUGUGGCAUUUGAAAAUGCGUCUUCUUCUCAGGAUCUUGUGCGAGUCGGAGUCUCUCCUGAUUGGCUGCAGCAGAGCCACACACCUGCAGCUCAUUGGAUCAUCAGCCCGGGAGGAUUUAAGGAGCUGCAAGGCCUCCACUCUCUGCUGGAUGAUUACUCAAACAUGGUAGCCUCUGGUCUGUGUAUGACUCUUCUGAGAAAUGCUAGGAUUUAUGUGACUCGCCUGUGUUUUUUUUUUUUUAGCUCUGUUUGGUUCACUCUUCUCUCUCUGAUUCUCAGCGGUCCUCUCGUGUUUUCGAGCCUGAACCAGGACCGUGUGCUCACCUGCAGCCGGUUCCUAUGCUCCCUUCCUCCCUCUGAGAAGCCUGCAAGAUGAACCUCAGACCUGAACCGAGGAGAACUUCUGCAAUGUUCUUACCUUUUUGUACAUAUUUAAAAUAAAUGCUUAAACUCA